UACGUAGGGUGCGAGCGUUAAUCGGAAUUACUGGGCGUAAAGCGUGCGCAGGCGGUUAUGUAAGACAGUUGUGAAAUCCCCGGGCUCAACCCUGGGAACUGCAUCUGUGACUGCAUAGCUAGAGUACGGUAGAGGGGGAUGGAAUUCCGCGUGUAGCAGUGAAAUGCGUAGAUAUGCGGAGGAACACCGAUGGCGAAGGCAAUCCCCUGGACCUGUACUGACGCUCAUGCACGAAAGCGUGGGGAGCAAACAGG
rnacentral:rRNA from 1 species